AGUGCUGGAGCCUAUCUCAGCUGCAUUUGGGCAGAAGGCGGGGUACACCCUGGACAAGUCGUCACCUCAUCACAGGGCCAACACAGAUAAACAGACAACAUUCACACUCACAGGGGAUAUCUUCGGGCCACCACAUGGGCUUGCAGCUCUCCUUGCCCCAGCCGGGCUUGCCCCGGCCCGUCGAGUAUUUCAGCAUCUCCGGGAUGAAGGCUCUGAGCUGGGCCUGUGAUGGAGCGUAAGAAGAUGAGGAUGACGCCCUUGAGCUGCAAGGUGGGCGGUCACCUCAUCGUUCCCGGCCGAGUUGAGGAUGUCCGUGUCGUCGUAGGGGUCAUCGUCAGGCGAGGAAGUGGAGUCCUCAUCUGCGCUCAUCAUGGAUGUGUCGCCAAAGAUAAACCUGUUGGCUGACGGCGCUGGCCUCAAUGGUGGUCAUGUGCUCUGCCUGGUGAACAGCGUGAUCCUCCAUGACGGCUGGAUACAACAACUGGCGAAACAUAAGAUGCAUGUCAUAAUGUAAGGAGACAGAUCAAAUCAAUUUCAUGUGCUUACAGUGUGGAUCAUGUGUGUACAGUUAGAUGCAGGCAUCACUGGAGACUUUAAAUCCAACAAAUAAAGUGAACUCACACUAUACAUUACAAUU